CUGUUAAUGGCACUCAACUUGACAGGGUUGUUUUGAUAAAUGCAGGGUGUUAGGAAAGCAGGAGCUGGAUUUUGAAUGGAAUGGAGCUUAGGACAAAUGGAAGCAAUGCCAGACUUGGGCCAGUGAGCGAUGCUGUUAGGAACCAAGCAAUGCCAUGUGCAGUGCCGAAGGUCUCCCAGUUUACAAACUCACAGACUUUACUUUGAGGAGUGGGGAUGGGGUUUGGAAUGUGGGUCAUCACGGACUGGGAGUCUCAUAGCACAAGAGCUCUUCUGCAGGCUCUGCAUCAGGUAAAUAGAGGCCUUUUCUUUAGAGAGGAAACAAAUGAAAGUAGUUUAGUGCAAAAGAAGGGUGACGAUUAAUUCUUUUCUAUUCGUAGUAGAAUUGGGUAGUCCUUUUGCAUUUUGAGAAGCUGUGAAGACAAAGCUAGUGUACAAGUGCUUUCAAAAUUUUAUAUUGUGCUCACAUUGCUCAGUGUGUAUACACAAAGUCUGGUUUGCCUGCUUCUGUUUGCCUGUUCCUUAAAUGCCAGGUAAGCAGGGAAUACUUUGCUUGAAUAAAUCAGUGGUGGCCUCUGUACCUGAUCAAUUCUAGCUUGCAGAUAGGACCCUGGUUAGAGUCUCAGGGUUUUUAUGAGUAACAAUUAUUUGGAUCUCUAUAAAGUGGGCAUAAAACAUUUUUUAGUAGGCUUUUAAAGAUUAAUGGGAGGUACAUGUAUUCACAUAGAUGCCGCUUAUUUGAGGUAGGCCUUUUUUGUUUUGGACCCAGGGUCUUGCUAUGUAGCCCAGGCUGGUCCCAAACUCGCGGCAGUUGUUCUGCCUCAGCCUCCCAGGUGUUGGGAUUACAGGUGUGCACCACCAUGCCUGGUCAUGAUAGGCUUCUUUGUGCCAAGAAACGUGUGGAGAAUAUAAAUAAUGAGCAGAGCAGGCUAGUCGUCUUUGACUCACUCCACAAAUGUGUGUGCUUGACAACUGGGGUUUGCUGAGGAGCGAACACAGUUUUCUGUAGGGAAGUCAGCAUCUAGAAAAGACUGGACAUUAAUCAGAAAGUCAUAUCAGUGGAUUACAAACUGAGGGGUAAAUGCUCUCAAGGAAAGGAGUAGUUCUGUGAAGACUUCAAAGGAACCUGACCUAGAACGGCUUCAGGGGAUCCUUCUCUGGAAAAGUGGUGUUGGACCUAAGAUCUGAGGGAAGAGCAGGUUUUCAGAUGUGUG
rnacentral:lncRNA from 1 species